AUUGAACGCUGGCGGCAGGCCUAACACAUGCAAGUCGAGCGGUAGAGAGAAGCUUGCUUCUCUUGAGAGCGGCGGACGGGUGAGUAAUGCCUAGGAAUCUGCCUGGUAGUGGGGGAUAACGUUCGGAAACGGACGCUAAUACCGCAUACGUCCUACGGGAGAAAGCAGGGGACCUUCGGGCCUUGCGCUAUCAGAUGAGCCUAGGUCGGAUUAGCUAGUUGGUGAGGUAAUGGCUCACCAAGGCGACGAUCCGUAACUGGUCUGAGAGGAUGAUCAGUCACACUGGAACUGAGACACGGUCCAGACUCCUACGGGAGGCAGCAGUGGGGAGUAUUGGACAAUGGGCGAAAGCCUGAUCCAGCCAUGCCGCGUGUGUGAAGAAGGUCUUCGGAUUGUAAAGCACUUUAAGUUGGGAGGAAGGGCAGUUACCUAAUACGUAACUGUUUUGACGUUACCGACAGAAUAAGCACCGGCUAACUCUGUGCCAGCCGCCGCCGUAA
rnacentral:rRNA from 1 species